GAAAAACUCCCUGUUGUUAUUCCUAGUAAACCAGAAGCUCCAGCAGCUAAAGAACCUGCAGUGACAAAGAAAACUGUCCCACUUAAGAAAAUACCUGCUGCUGUCCCUAAAGAAGCUCCUCCAACUAAAGUUCCUGAAGUACCAAAGAAAGAUGUCCGCAAAGAAAAAAUACCUCC